rnacentral:rRNA from 1 species
CGGCCGCGUCGACCCUGGCUCAGGACGAACGCUGGCGGCGUGCUUAACACAUGCAAGUCGGACGGUAAGGCCCCUUUCGUGGGGUACACGAGUGGCGAACGGGUGAGUAACACGUGAGGAACGUGCCCUUGACUUCGGUAUAGCUCCAGGAAACUGGUGGUAAUCCCGAAUAUGAGCCUGGCCUGCAUGGGUUGGGUUGGAAAGCUUUAUGCGGUCAGGGAUCGUCUCGCGGCCUAUCAGCUUGUUGGUGGGGUAAUGGCCUACCAAGGCAGCGACGGGUAGCCGGCCUGAGAGGGUGACCGGCCACAUUGG